CAGACGGCUUAAAUCCUCCAAGCAGACGACCGUCUGCGUGACAUGUUCGUGCACGGCUCCUACAUUUUAGCGCAUGUUCACGUCUACGCACGUACAACCGGUGUGUUCUAGCCUUUAACUUAUUUUUAAAUGUGUCAAGUUUGACAGAAUAACGCCAUAACGCUGUUGUAUCUAUCACAAAAUAUUAUUGAAGUACAAAAUUAAUCUGAAUGACUAGAACACAAUCUUACCUAAAUAAUAUGCAUUGCUAUUACCUACAGCUAGCAUCGUUGACCUGAAACGUGGUCGAACAUGAGCAUCGGCGUUGGCGCCGGCGCGCCGCUGGCAGUGCGCAGGUACUGCCAAUGCGACAUCGAUGUUAUUCAGCACAUAGACACUCAUGAAUCAUAAAAAUACCUGAAUAAAACAGAUAUCUACGGAAAACAACACUCUUACUACUCGGACCGAAGAUUCGAAAGAACCCCAGUCACCAUCUCCAGCACCCCUAAGUACGUCCCCGCAGAGAACCUGAGCAAGCUGCCUCGUCUGACCAUGAUUACCAAGACGAACAACUACCAUCCAGGGCAGAGCUUUCUAACGAAGAGAGGUAGGAAGGUUCCGGGGAAGAAUGUGGUGUCAAAAUUACCAAUGAUGUAAUUGUUGGCUUGUUGUGGCGUAACUUAAUAAAAUUGUGAUUGCUUGA